UUCAUUAGUUUGUAUAUUUACGGAUGAAUAUGUAUUUAUUAUACCUGUUUAUAUCAAUAGCAAUGAAUACAAGAUGAAAUACUGCUCUUAUACUUCCAACAGUAUCCAACAGUAGCCUGCUACUUUAACCAGGCCCAUAAUAAGUGCUUUAAAAACAACAAUAAUAUUUACCACAACAAUACAUUGCUAAUAAUGAUUGGCAAUUGUUAUUUUUCUCUCUCUGUUUUAUAAUUAGGCCUAUGCAAAUGUACAGUAUCUGUCUGUUAAAUUCAUUAAUUCUUCAUUGAUGUUAACCUGCUAGGUAAAAUAAAACACAUUCUGCUUUACGUCACUUACAUAUGGAUCUGGCGUGCCCGUCCCAAAAUAAUAUCCGAGGGUUUUGUCAAGGCUUGGUAAAUGUAUCAUCUUAAGAGGCUUUGUGGGACACCUACGCAUACACACACACACACACACACACACACACACACACACACACACACACACACACACACACACACACACACACACACACACACACACACACACACCGCUGGCACGGACACACCCGCUCACUAGAUUUGAAUAUUGAUUUAGAUUUAUAAACACAGGCACACACCCUGGGUUCUAUGAGUCGUCAUUUGCCUCUCUCUGUCCCGGUGGAAGGCCGGUGUCAAAGGUGGAGGCUGGUCGUAGCUGCUUUAUGAAGUAGCAUCACACGUCUUGCUGCAGUGAGGAAUGAGUUGAUAUGGGAAGGCAACGCUUUUGGCUCCAACAGUAACAAUGCAGCGUCGUGUAUCUCUGGACAGAUUCUGAUCCCAAGAAGAAUCUGUGGAUUAUGACCGAUGGAUUAAUAGGCACGAGACAAAGACCCCUCCGCAUCUCGUCAGAUGUCAAGUUCUAUAUGUGUAUUUGUGUGUGUGUGUGUGUGUGUGUGUGUGUGUGUGUUUGUGUGUGUGUGAUGGUCGUGCUCGCAGCGACGGUUUGAUGGAAUGGAGCCGAGGUGGAGGAGUCGAGGUUGAGUAGUCUAGGUGGAGGAGCCGAGGUGGAGGAGCCGAGGUGGAGGAGCUGAGGUGGAGGAGCCGAGGUGGAGGAGCCGAGGUGGAGGAGUCGAGGUGGAGGAGUCGAGGUGGAGGAGCCGAGGUGGAGGAGCCGAGGUGGAGGAGCCGAGGUGGAGGAGCCGAGGUGGAGGAGCCGAGGUGGAGGAGCCGAGGUGGAGGAGCCGAGGUGGAGGAGUCGAGGUGGAGGAGCUGAGGUGGAGGAGCUGAGGUGGAGCAUCACAGGUGUACCUUCAGGAGUUCGUCACCGAGCAAACAGCCCGCCGCCCCGCGCUGGAACCAACAACCACAAGACUUAUGGAAAACACAAGGACACAUAUAAGUCACGGGGAGACCUGUGUGUGUGUGUGUGUGUGUGUGUGUGUGAGAGAGAGUGUGUGUGUCCUUGUGUUUAUGUCUGUGUGCUUUAAGAAUAGCUUGGAUUCAAUUUGGCAUUUAAAAGAGGUUACUUCAGCAAAAUUGAUCAACGUGCUAUUGCUCCUCUAAAAAUCAACAACAUGGCCAUGUUGUAUUUCUUUCACCGUUCUAUUUUUUUGAAAUCUAAUUUCUUUGUGGAUUUAUGAUUCUAGUUUUAUUUCCUUUCUGUAAAGCUGAUAAGAUGUGUUGUGAUUUUUUUUACUGCGUUGAUUUGUAGAAUUAACAUCUUGGCCUCCUCAGCAUCACCCUUUCUAAACUCGCCCCAACAGUCCGUCUCUCUGAAUCCAGUUGAGCAAUUUGUUGUACGUCUAAUGUUUACAUGAUUGUCCAUAAUAUAUCUGUUUUCUAUUUUG